AACGAACGCUGGCGGCAUGCCUAACACAUGCAAGUCGAACGAAGCCUUCGGGCUUAGUGGCGCACGGGUGCGUAACGCGUGGGAAUCUGCCCUUUGGUUGGGAAUAACAGUUGGAAACGACUGCUAAUACCGGAUGAUGACGAAAGUCCAAAGAUUUAUCGCCAGAGGAUGAUCCCACGUAGGAUUGGUUAUUUGGUGUGUUAAAGGCGCACCAAGGCGACGAUCCUUGGCUGGUCUGAGAGGAUGAUAAGCCACACUGGGACGGAGACACGGCCAAGACUCCUACGGGAGGCAGCAGUGGGGAAUAUUGAACAAUGGGCGAAAGCCUGAUCCAGCAAUGCCGCGUGAGUGAUGAAGGCCCUAGGGUUGUAAAGCUCUUUUACCCGGGAUGAUAAUGACAGUACCGGGAGAAUAAGCCCCGGCUAACUCCGUGCCAGCAGCCGCCGUAA
rnacentral:rRNA from 1 species